AUGUCGGGCGGGAGCGACGGGCAGGGCGACUGGGCGGAUUCCCCACCUACCACCAUUAAUGGAGUCGCCAUUAAUGCCGAGCGAGGUCAAAUUGACCCUCGUCCCUGCCUCCCCCACCCAAUCCCCACCACUGUAUCCACCUACUCGAAGCGCGACGCGAGCGAGAGUACGGGGGGAGAUGCCAGGGGGACCGGACCGCAGACCACGCGUGCGGAGGGUUCGGCGGCUGCAUCUGGCGGCGCCGCCAGCCCUUGCACCUCCGGUCCGGGUCCCCGUGGAGCAGCUGCCGGAGAUCAACUCUGCCUCGCCGGAAGCGCGAGCGGAGAUGCUGCGGGUGGUAAUGGGGCGCUUCCCCGACCGCUCAGAGUGGCCCGACCGAUGCAUCCAGGUCAUUCAGACCUCGACGUUCGCGGAACGAGCUCCAUUCACCGGCGACGAUGGCGGGGUGGAAUACAAGCUGCUAUUCUGGGCGAUUCAGGAGGCGGAAUCGACAGUCCCGGUCACCGCACGCAGGUGGGCGAGGUUCAAGACGACGAGCCCGUCCAGGCUGAACAUCAGGCCGCCCCCCGUGGUGCAGCUCGCCAACAUUCCACGCGAGUUCCUGCCGCCGGGGGAGAGCCCACCCAGAGGCCCUUGAGGGCUGCGGCUCCCGGCGGGCGUGCGCGGCGGGACCUCGAACCGCGGGCGCGCCUUGUGGGGAACAGACUCCGCGGCAGCAGUCUGGAUCCGCCACCAUGGCCGGGAGAUCGAGGAAGGGUGCCGCGUCUUCCAACGAAGGGCCGCACUUGGAGAAAUGCCGCAUGUGUUCUUGUGAAACUAAGGUCUCAUCUACAGCAAUGGAAAGUGCUCUGCGACGACAAUCAAGCAGUGCUGCUACAAAGAUGUAUUCUUCUGCUGGACAAAAAGCGCGGGGAGCUGAUGCGGAUUGCCUGGAGAUGA
rnacentral:rRNA from 1 species